CCCCGAGGUGUCCCUCAUGUCCCCGAGGUGUUCCUCACGUCCCUGAGAUGUCCCUGAGGUGUCCCUGAGAUGUCCCCGAGGUGUCCCCCAUGCCCCUGAGAUGUUCCUCACGUCCCUGAGAUGUCCCUGAGGUGUCCCCAGCAUGUCCCCGUCCCCGCAGGCCUUCAGCCGCGCCCACCGCAUCGGCCAGGCCAACAAGGUGAUGAUUUACCGCUUCGUGACGCGGGCGUCGGUGGAGGAGAGGAUCACGCAGGUGGCCAAGCGCAAGAUGAUGCUGACGCACCUGGUGGUGCGCCCGGGGCUGGGCUCCAAGGCCGGCUCCAUGUCCAAGCAGGAGCUGGACGACAUCCUCAAGUUCGGCACCGAGGAGCUCUUCAAGGACGAGAACGAGGGGGACAACAAGGAGGAGGACAGCAGCGUCAUCCACUACGACAACGAGGCCAUCGCGCGGCUGCUGGACCGGAACCAGGACGCCACCGACGACGCCGACGUGCAGAACAUGAACGAGUACCUGAGCUCCUUCAAGGUGGCCCAGUACGUCGUCAGGGAGGAGGACAAGAUCGAGGAGAUCGAGCGCGAGAUCAUCAAGCAGGAGGAGAACGUGGACCCCGACUAUUGGGAGAAGCUCCUGCGGCACCACUACGAGCAGCAGCAGGAGGACCUGGCCAG
rnacentral:lncRNA from 1 species